ACGAACGCUGGCGGCAGGCUUAACACAUGCAAGUCGAGCGCCCCGCAAGGGGAGCGGCAGCCGGGUGAGUAACGCGUGGGAACGUACCUUUUGGUUCGGAACAACUCCGGGAAACUGGAGCUAAUACCGGAUAAGCCCUAACGGGGAAAGAUUUAUCGCCGAAAGAUCGGCCCGCGUCUGAUUAGCUAGUUGGUGAGGUAACGGCUCACCAAGGCGACGAUCAGUAGCUGGUCUGAGAGGAUGAUCAGCCACACUGGGACUGAGACACGGCCCAGACUCCUACGGGAGGCAGCAGUGGGGAAUAUUGGACAAUGGGCGCAAGCCUGAUCCAGCCAUGCCGCGUGAGUGAUGAAGGCCUUAGGGUUGUAAAGCUCUUUUGUCCGGGAAGAUAAUGACUGUACCGGAAGAAUAAGCCCCGGCUAACUUCGUG
rnacentral:rRNA from 1 species